UCGAUCUGUGCUGAUGGCUCCAUUAUAUCCACUGACACUGGAAAAAGUUUCCUUUCAGAAUCCUGUCCCGUUUCCCCCGCAGGGUUAGAGCUCCGGUGACAAGUCAACUAAUGGAGUCGUCUCUGUUAAUGGAAGAAGAAGUUUAGCAGCUUGCCGAACAACUCGAGCUGCAGAGCUUGGAACUGAAUCAUCUUCCGGAUUAGCUUCAUCAGCAACAUCUAUGAGCCAUAAUCAAUAUCAGAGGGCAAGGCGAGGUUACGAAAAAUGAGCUCCUGGAAUACAGUCAACGCAAAUCAGCUUCAGGAGGCCAGACAUUUAAGAAGAUGGAUGACAUCAUGAUACCCAGGUCAUCGGCGUUGAAUCUUGGUUUUGAAGUUUUGUUUUUUUCAAUAACUGGAUGAGAUUGUCAGAAAGUUCCAAAUACCUGGUGUUCCAAGAAGAGAGGAUGGAUGUUAAACCUACUUCUCUUUCAAAGAGGACUCUAAUAAGCACUCAGUUUGCAGACUACAUGCUGCCAAGACCGUGAAAACGGGAGGUCGUUUCCUUAGGAACAACACACAGUCAGGUCCAGCGCGGUAGCCGAAAUGCUGGAAGGACCCCAAGUUGUUUGUCUUUCUUCUAAAGCAUUCACUAAAAUUAGAUCAAGGGAAAAAAGACCCCGUGCUUUGUUUUUUUGGCAAGAAUACGGCUAUUUUUGAUGUAUUUCUAGUUCCUUGAUUGUAAGUGCACCUGCUAAAGAGAAUACCUCAGCUGAAGCCCACAGAAAGUAUCCCGUGGCAACGAGAUGCGGGAAUGACAUAGUCGAGCAUGGAAACCUAAGGGGAGGGUGUUCAUUCUCUCUUCCUGAAUUUGGAGGUCUGAACGAUGGCGACGAGGAGAAGAAGUGAAUCCCUUGCAGUCCCGUAUCACCUCCGUGUGGCCCAAGCUAAUGUGGGGAAAUGGGCCCCACCCUUCUUUGGCUAAGAAAAAUAAGAGAUUGAAUGGGAAACUCAUCUCACCGCAAGUACCCAAAAUAAGUCUGUGGCCCAGGCGAGAAGGAAUUGAAAAAGGCAAGAGGGAAUCGAAAAGGAAGCAAAAGCCUCUCUUUUUUUAUGGCAUCCGUUAAGCGCUUACU